GCACAUGAUGUUUGGAGGGAGGAUUUCCACCAUAUACUGAAUCUGACGCAAAACUGAUGCUUCAUGAAGAACAUUGCCGCUGCAAGAGUGUGAUCUGUAGACGAGCAGUCUCCAAGCCAUCUAUGAUGCAGACCCUCAGCUACUAUCCAGACCUACUGAUCAUAGCCUGGUGGAGACUAUGUCAUGAAGGUUCCCAAAACUGUGUAAGAUUAGAGGCAGUGCCAGGAGCACCUGUGCAACUUGGAGGACAAUUUUUCCCCCCUCUUCAUGCUUACUUUUUCCUUGGCCUCUCUGGGGUUUAUGUCAGCUUCCACCACUCUGAACUACAGAAUUACCCAGGCAUACACUGCUCUUGUUCUUUUCAAAAUCUUCCCCAAACAGGGAGAUGACCUUGGGUCCUUUACUCGAAGCUCAAUUCACUGGAUAAAAGCAAAACAAAUGAUAACAACAAAGUGCACCAAAAGCUGGGGCGUGUCUGAGACGGAGGAUUUAAAACAAGCCGAGAGCCGUGGUUCAGAGCCCUGUUCUUGCUGCACGCCUGUAGAUGCCUUGAGUCAAGAUCCCACAAACUAAAGUUUGCUCCUACUUCCCUUUUGGGAUGCUUGCUCUCCAUCCCCUCCAGGCUGGUGGAAUGGUCCAGGAAUCUCCAGCAGCCUGCUUUCUCUCCUGGCCUCCUAGCCUUGCUAUUUCCUGGAGAGUGACUCACAAUGUAUUCAUGGUCACCACCAUCCCCUGAAGCAAAGAGGUGGCUCUCCAGGGUGAGAGGCUCUCCCAGGCUCCACCUACUUUCGAAGAUGACUAAUAACAGGUAUCCACCACACCCCUGUCAUCUUCAAACAGAACACUGCCUCUAGCCAACUCACAGAACCCUGUCUAUUAGGCCCGUCUAACAAGUCCUUGUGGUCAUCAGCAAACAGGAGUCAUUUCUCAGUCUCUACUAGGCUGAAGGUUAUUGGGUGGAGGACAAAGACUACUGGGUGACAGAAAGUGAGGAUGAUUAAGGGGGAGGGCCACUUACAUUACUAAGCACUGGUAAAUGGUAUUUCAUGAGAUGCACUAUCUUGAGGAGCAGAAAGGCACUCGCUUCUUAGUUGUGUCCCUUAUUGGCUAUUGUUUGACAACUGAAUAAACCCCAGUUGGUUGAUUUUAUUCAUAAAAAUGUUAUUCACACAUUUUUUUCUAUGUGUGAAAGAAAGAAAAGGGAUUUCAGAUCAGAGUCUGCAAAACCAAGUGCUAAGUAAAACUGUUGAAAAUUAAUAAAAAUGUCAAGAGUACCUUCCUGAGCUCAGGGCCCUUUGCAUAGCACAGGCUACAAAGUCAUAGUGUGAGCAUGAAUAGUUCAUUAGAGCUACCAUGCUCUAAUGGACAUACAUGGUAAGUAUUCAGUUCUCUUUGUAACCUCUUCAGAGGCUUAUAUCAUCAGUCCUGUUUUAUAGUUGGAAUAACUGAGCACUUGGAAGUCCAAUUUACAGACAUGUCAAAGAGUUGAAUGGCAGGACCAUGAUGGCACAUGUGUCUUCCUCCAAAGCUAACGAACAGCCAUUCCUAAGAGGAACACAGGCAGCAGGAAGGGACUUGGUCCCCUGACUUCUGGUAGGAUUGAGAGGCCUUGGAAUGCACAUGGCUUUAUCUGUCAGGCAGGCACAAAAGAUAGGGUUGCACAAUUGUUCAUGUGCUAUCUGAAGGAGUUUAAGGCAGCGGAGAGACUCUAACACGGGGUCAGUUUGUGUGAAGAUCCUAGGUGAGCUCUCAGUUUAGUAUAACCAGUAAAUUGAGACUGAGCCCCAUUCUCAGGCCUGUGGUUUCCUCAGCCUUGAAUGACUUUGCCUUAAGUACAGAGCCUUGAUUCCUUGAUGUGGAUCACCCACCUGCUCAGAAUUUUCUCUUUUGCUCUUCAGACUGUAAUGUUUUCUUCCUUUCAAAGAAUAAAAGGCGAGAUAGCCGGCCACCUUCCUGGUGAG
rnacentral:lncRNA from 1 species